rnacentral:rRNA from 1 species
ACAACGAAGAGUUUGAUCCUGGCUCAGGAUAAACGCUAGCGGCAGGCCUAACACAUGCAAGUCGAGCGGCAGCGGGGUGUAGCAAUACACCGCCGGCGAGCGGCGGACGGGUGAGUAACGCGUAUGCAACCUGCCC